UACCGAUCAAUAUAUACAUUAUUUACUUUAAAUACUUUACAUAUUUUUCACUAUGGACAAUAAAAUAAAUCACUAUGCCAAGCGCAGCCGAGACGCGACACGCGGCGGAGCCGCAGCCAUACAGCGCGGCUUCGCCGCGCUACCCGCGCUGUAGCACGGGUAUCUCGCCUAGUUUUAUACAAUAAAGAGAAAAAAUAGAUACCUGCCGACUAAAGUUGCUAAUAUUUAUCCCAACUUCUACUUUUUUCUUUUUUUUUCUUCUCUGUUUUGCCAGAGUAUGGAUACAUCAUACAUCCGUGUUAAAAGUGCUUCCCUUCCCCUUGCUUUUCUGUUCAGAUUGAUCUAACAUCUAAUAAGAAGAAAACGUUUAAACUAAACAAAUAUGAAAAAUACUAAUGUAAAGAAAAGAAGAAACACAAUUUUGAAAGGCAAGUCUUUUCCUGAUGUCCUUUAAACCAAACAAAUGAUAUGUAAAGAGAUUGUGUAAAAGUAAGAAUUUUGUCAACAAGAAGAAACAUAUAUGUGUGGGAUUAAAAUCCAGUGAUGUCCUUUAAACCAAAUAAAUGAUAUGUAAAGAGAUUGUGUAAAACAAAGAAAUCUGUCAUCAAAACGUAACAUACAUGUAGAAAAUCCAGUGAUUUUGCUCAUAUAAGUAAAAGAACUAAUUUGAGAAAGCAAUAAUCCAUGACAGCCACAUUGUUUUCUCACUUGGAAACACUAACAUGGCACGUAAUCUAAUGGAUAUAGGCUGAGACGUGGAACUUAUCUAAAUCCAUUUCCUCACACAAUAACAUUCAAUCACACAGCCAAGAAUUUUGUCCCAUGCACUUUGUGACAACCAAUCUUUGUCAUUAACAAGAUGGUUGUCAACUCAGACAGAAAACAUCCUAUCCUACCAAUCUACUUU
rnacentral:lncRNA from 1 species